rnacentral:lncRNA from 1 species
GUCUCCAUCUUUCCAAGAAGACCAGCCACCAAAACAACUGAAAGGGGUAAUCCUUGACACUUCUCUGCGAUUCUUUUACCAACAUCCACAAGUUCUGGAGGGCAUUGUUGAUCUUGAAAUAGCUUCUGUACUAUCAACAUCCAACUUUCUUGAUUAUGAAAAAACCGGAGGCGCAAAGGAUCUGUGGUACACUUGGCAUAUGAAGCUACUUCGGCAUGACGAGUCGUUAGAAUAAUUCUACUUCCUUGCUUAUCAUCUCUAAAAGGAGUCUUGAAAUAGCUUCUGUACUAACAACAUCCAACUUUCUUCAUUAUGAAAAAACCGGAGGCGCAACGGAUCUGUGGUACACUUGGCAUAUGAAGCUACUUCAGCAUGACGAGUCGUUAGAAUAAUUCUACUUCCUUGCUUAUCAUCUCUAAAAGGAGUCUUGACAUCAUCCCAUGCUUCAAUGGUCCAAAUGUCAUCCAAGAAAAUGAGGUACCUCCUUCCCAUGAUACUUCUCCGCAACAGGUCAGCCAAAUCUCCCUCGCUCUUUUCCUCAACAUUUUCUGGAAGUCCAAUAUUAAUUUGUUGUAAAAUGUCAAUCAACAAUGAUUUCUUUUCAUAUCUUUCAG